rnacentral:rRNA from 1 species
CACAAGCGGUGGAUGAUGUGGAUUAAUUCGAUGCAACGCGAAAACCUUACCUACCCUUGACAUGUCCGGAAUCCUGCAGAGAUGCGGGAGUGCCCGAAAGGGAAUCGGAACACAGGUGCUGCAUGGCUGUCGUCAGCUCGUGUCGUGAGAUGUUGGGUUAAGUCCCGCAACGGGCGCAACCCUUAUCAUUAGUUGCUACGCAAGGGCACUCUAAUGAGACUGCCGGUGACAAACCGGAGGAAGGUGGGAUGACGUCAAGUCCUCAUGGCCCUUAUGGGUAGGGCUUCACACGUCAUACAAUGGUCGGUACAGAGGGUUGCCAAGCCGCGAGAUGGAGCCAAUCCCAGAAAGCCGAUCGUAGUCCGGAUUGUUCUCUGCAACUCGAGAGCAUGAAGUCGGAAUCGCUAGUAAUCGCGGAUCAGCAUGUCGCGGUGAAUACGUUCCCGGGUCUU